ensembl:misc_RNA
UGGGUUACCUUUAAGUAUGAGGAUUCUAUCCAAACCUUGAAGUAUCUUUUGACUUUUUAUUUGAAAAUGCACAUGCAUGUGCAUUCAUGAAGGGCAGAGAGAUGAUGAAUGUUCUCAUCUGAGUUAGAACCAAAUACAGUGUAGACAGCUGCUGUGAGCUUUCUUAUUACAAUUUUGGACUGACAUGAGUUGGAAAAU